rnacentral:rRNA from 1 species
GACGAACGCUGGCGGCGUGCUUAACACAUGCAAGUCGAACGGAAAGGCCCUGCUUUUGUGGGGUGCUCGAGUGGCGAAAGGGUGAGUAACACGUGAGUAACCUGCCCUUGACUUUGGGAUAACUUCAGGAAACUGGGGCUAAUACCGGAUAUGAGCUCCUGCUGCAUGGUGGGGGUUGGAAAGUUUCGGCGGUUGGGGAUGGACUCGCGGCUUACCAGCUUGUUGGUGGGGUAGUGGCUUACCAAGGCUUUGACGGGUAGCCGGCCUGAGAGGGUGACCGGUGACAUUGGGACUGGGAUACGGCCCAGAAUCCUACGGUGAGCAGCAGUGGGGAAUAUUGCACAAUGGGGGGAAGCCUGAUGCAGCAACGCCGCGUGCUGGAUAACGGCCUUCGUGUUAUAAACCGCUGUCGCCUGUGACGAAGCGUGAGUGACGGUAAUGGGUAAAGAAGCACCGGCUAACUACGUG